AUUGAACGCUGGCGGCAUGCCUUACACAUGCAAGUCGAACGGUAACGCGGGGCAACCUGGCGACGAGUGGCGAACGGGUGAGUAAAGCAUCGGAACGUGCCCAGUAGUGGGGGAUAGCCCGGCGAAAGCCGGAUUAAUACCGCAUACGACCUAAGGGUGAAAGCGGGGGAUCGCAAGACCUCGCGCUAUUGGAGCGGCCGAUGUCAGAUUAGGUAGUUGGUGGGGUAAAGGCCUACCAAGCCGACGAUCUGUAGCUGGUCUGAGAGGACGACCAGCCACACUGGGACUGAGACACGGCCCAGACUCCUACGGGAGGCAGCGGUGGGGAAUUUUGGACAAUGGGCGCAAGCCUGAUCCAGCCAUGCCGCGUGCGGGAAGAAGGCCUUCGGGUUGUAAACCGCUUUUGUCAGGGAAGAAAUCUUUUGGGCUAAUACCUCGGAAGGAUGACGGUACCUGAAGAAUAAGCACCGGCUAACUACGUGCCAGCAGCCGCAGUAAUAC
rnacentral:rRNA from 1 species